AUCGGCACGGAGGGGAUCGGCACGGAGGGGAUCGGCACGGAGGGGAUCGGCACGGAAGGGAGCGGCACGGAGGGCAGCGCAGGAGGGAGCAGCGGGAGCUCGCCAUGGCCCUGGCAGACCCCGCGGGCUGUGCCAAAGGCGGCGAGGACGGCAACCCCUUCCCCGACAUCAUCGAGCUGAACGUGGGGGGACAGGUGUACAUCACCCGGCACCCCACGCUGGUCAGCGUGCCCGGCUCGCUGCUCUGGGAGAUGUUCACCCAGAAGAACGCGCGCUCGCUGGCCCGCGACAGCAAGGGCCGCUUCUUCGUGGACCGGGACGGGUUCCUGUUCCGCUACAUCCUGGAUUACAUGAGGGACCGGCAGCUGGUGCUGCCCGAGCACUUCCCGGAGCGCGGCCGGCUGCAGCGCGAGGCCGAGUACUUCAUGCUGCCCGAGCUGGUGAAGCUGCUGGCGCCCAAGCUCAGCGAGCAGAACUCCCUGGGGGACGAUCCCUGCCAGAGCGACCCCGAGGAGCCGUCCCCCGGCGCCGACGCCUCCCGCGGCCUGGCCUCGGCCGCCGCCGCGCCGCCCGGCGCCGUGUCCGGCGGCGCCGAGGGCCGCAGGGCGGGCUUCAUCACCAUCGGCUACCGCGGCUCCUACACGCUGGGCAGGGACAGCCAGACGGACGCCAAGUUCCGCAGGGUGGCCCGGAUCAUGGUGUGCGGCAAGACCUCGCUGGCCAAGGAGGUCUUUGGGGACACCUUGAACGAGAGCAGGGACCCGGACAGGCCCCCGGAGAGGUACACGUCCAGGUACUACCUCAAGUUCACCUUCCUGGAGCAAGCCUUUGACAAACUGGCCGAUGCCGGCUUCCACAUGGUGGCCUGCAACUCCACGGGCACCUGUGCCUUCGCCCACGAGCAGACGGACGACAGGAUCUGGACCUCUUACACCGAAUACGUUUUCUACCGUGAGUGACACAAAACCAACCCUCCGCCGACCAGCCACCGACUGUCCCUUUCCCGUCCCGCGCUGGCUGUGGCCUAGAAGGUCCCAUUGUACGAGGCCAGCUCUCCAGGCAGCUCUCCAGGCACGGCAGCUUUCCAGGAAGCUCCUGGCUCAGCCUUCCCGUUCCCGAGCCUUCAGAACCGGAGCAGAGCCCAAAAAAACCCAUGUCCUCUUCCGAGCCCAUCCUGGACCUCAAGGGAGACACGGAGGAAGCGCUUCCAGAGAACCUGGGAGGAGCGGGGGAGCAGAGCUCCUGCCCACCGAGGGCCACUCCAGGGAGUGGAGAAUCCACGGAGCACACGGAACCAGCGCCAGCAGCCCUGGAGGAGGCUGUGGAUCCGAAGGAGAUCCCCGGCUCGGGGCAGGGUCCGGCUGACCCCGGGAACGCCGCUGGACGCCCCGGCAAUGACCAGCGCCUCCCGGAGCCGCCCGUGGCCGGCACAGCCGCUCGGUCGGAGGAGAAGGAUCCCAGCCCCACCAACUCCCCGCCGUGGCCGGAGGCUCCCGAGGAAGCCCCAGCCCGUCCCAACACCCUGGACUUCUCCAAAUCCCUGAAGAAGCUGGAGGAGGUGAAGCAGGCGGGGCAGCGGCGCGGCAGCGACCAGGCUGCGGUC